AGAUUAAAAUCCACAAAAUAUUUUGUAACGACAUGAUCCGCUAGCAAUAAUAACUUGUUGGAUCAAAACUACUGGUCCAAAAUACUUAAGCCCAGUUAUUUUGUCCAGACAUCUCCCCAUUUAAGCCCAAGAUCACCUAAUGUGAGACUUGUCUCGCUAGUCUUUAUCAUUUGUCAUUUCGAUCCUAACAUAGUCUGUCAUUCACCGACCCUGACUCAGCCAAGACUCAUCAGAGACUGACCCGCUAGCAAUAAUAAUUUGUUGGGCCAAAAUCACCGGCCCAAAAUGCAUAACCCCGGUUAUUAUAUCUAGUCUAAUCAAACUUAUAUACCCCUACAUCCAGGCAUAACUAUCCUAUGUGGGAUUAUUGAGGUGUCACAUAUUUUAUGUU
rnacentral:lncRNA from 1 species